rnacentral:rRNA from 1 species
AUUGAACGCUGGCGGCAGGCUUAACACAUGCAAGUCGAGCGGAGAUGAGGUGCUUGCACCUUAUCUUAGCGGCGGACGGGUGAGUAAUGCUUAGGAAUCUGCCUAUUAGUGGGGGACAACAUUCCGAAAGGAAUGCUAAUACCGCAUACGCCCUACGGGGGAAAGCAGGGGAUCUUCGGACCUUGCGCUAAUAGAUGAGCCUAAGUCGGAUUAGCUAGUUGGUGGGGUAAAGGCCUACCAGGGCGACGAUCUGUAGCGGGUCUGAGAGGAUGAUCCGCCACACUGGGACUGAGACACGGCCCAGACUCCUACGGGAGGCAGCAGUGGGGAAUAUUGGACAAUGGGCGGAAGCCUGAUCUAGCCAUGCCGCGUGUGUGAAGAAGGCCUUUUGGUUGUAAAGCACUUUAAGCGAGGAGGAGGCUACCUGGAUUAAUACUCUAGGAUAGUGGACGUUACUCGCAGAAUAAGCACCGGCUAACUCUGUGCCAGCCGCCGCAGUAAUAC